UACGGAGGAUGCAAGCGUUAUCCGGAAUCAUUGGGCGUAAAGCGUCCGCAGGUGGCAGUUCAAGUCUGCUGUCAAAGACUGGGGCUUAACCCUAGAAAGGCAGUGGAAACUGAACAGCUAGAGUAUGGUAGGGGCAGAGGGAAUUCCUGGUGUAGCGGUGAAAUGCGUAGAGAUCAGGAAGAACAUCGGUGGCGAAGGCGCUCUGCUGGACCAUAACUGACACUCAGGGACGAAAGCUAGGGGAGCGAAUGGG
rnacentral:rRNA from 1 species